rnacentral:lncRNA from 1 species
GGUGGCAGCCAUGGCGGACGGCUGCGAUGAGGCUGCUCCUGGGUCUCGCGGCUAUCCAAGACCAUCGAGGGUCCCCGGCGGCGCCUGCCGUCUGCUGAGGCUGGGUGGACUCCUCUGCGGCAGAUCUCCUGUAAGAUGUGCUGGUUAAGGCUUCUGGCAGAUUCGGGUCAGUCCCAAGUGCGACCGGUCUUCUGGGGCUGCCGUCCGCAGACCCUUCUCGCAUCCACGUACCUGGCGGCCUCCCUCAUCGCGUGCUGUUGGUAGGGGGGCGAGUCAGGCCCUGUACACGUCCUGACAGGCACCCGGCCCACCCCCAGCCAACUGUGCGCUGUGUUCCUGCCCCAGCACGAGACCUGUGGGGUGUCCGCGGCAGAAGAUGUCAGAGCUGGAAGAGACCUGAGAGGCGAUCCCCUUGGUGGGUGAUGGUUCUUCCGGGAAUCUGGUGGUGAUGGAGUCCCAGAAAGCGUAACUGUCUGCCAGCUCACGAGGCCGUUUUGUGCAGAUAGUUUGAUUACCUCUGUGGUUGGGAUUCAACUUGUCGCCUUUUCCCCGGGAAUCUCCAGAUGAGCGGUGUGUCAGCCUGGAAAAGGUUUGCGCGCCUUGUCGUCUGCUUCCAGAACAAGGAUCUUCGCUGUAUGCCAAGACCCAGACCCCUCUGACAUCGGAAUGACAAGUGGGAUAUUUAAUAAAACAGUUUCAAAUUUGGA